CUCACCGACAAUAGAUUACUAUUGCAAAUAAUUUCCCAGAAAAACCUCACAGUCGUCUCCAUCGAUCGGCUCUCGUCUCCACUGAGAUUGAUCUGGAAAAAUCCACCCAUUUCCUAAAUUUUCGUCCUUCUUCCCCUCUGUUCUCUUCUCUCGUUUGUUGCCAAAAGACAACCACAACAAAAAUUAUCCAAAACAAUCAGAGAGUCUCCAUUUUUAAAUCUUGAAAAAUCCUGCCUAUUUUCCAAAAUUUUCAAGAGUUCCCCUUUGUUCCCUUCUCUUGUCUGUUGUCAAAAGACAACCACAGCAAAAAUUAUCCAAAGGCUUCAUUUUUAGAUCUAGAAAAAUCGAGCCCUUAUUUCCCAAAAUCUGAGCACUCGUUCCCCUCUGUCCCCUUCUCUCGUCUCCUGCCAAAAGACUUCAAAACUAUUGUAAAAAUAUUUCCCGAAACAACCCAAGAGGCUUCAUUGUUCAUAUCUGGAAAAAAUUUUCCCAAAACCAUAGUAGAUCAUUUGCCCUGUUCCCCUUUGUUCCCUUUUUCUUUCAAAGAAGAUCUAUCACCUUCACGCUCAUAACCUAUGCCAAGAGGUCUCCAUUGUUCUGGUUUGCAGAAAAAAUCAGCAGACAUUAACCAACAGGGGAAACUUCAUAGGAGAGAGAGAACCAAAAAAGCAGCAGAAAAGCACCAGCUGGGGAAACACACACAAGAGAGAGAACCGUAAAUUUAAUCUGACUUAUCUCCAUAUUGAGAUUUAUUAUAAUUAGCUCUUAAUUUAUUUUGUUUUCUGCUUCAUGAAUUCUGUUUACUGUGAUUAAUUUUGUGUGCAUUGUGCGAUGAAAUCGGUUUUUUAGUUGGUUGAAUGAGGUUUUACACUGCUGCUGCUUCAUCAGUUCUUUACAAGUGUUUGUUUAUAAAUUGUUAUAGUGCCAUCAGUGGUCUGAUUAGCCGAGGGGAAAAGUAAUUAUGAUAAUGUGCUUUGCUUGAUUCUUUUACUUUAUUGAGCGAUUAGUUUUUGUCAUCAUCUAUUUUUGGCAAAAAUGCUCAGGUAAUGCUGAACUUUAGAUUUACUUUUCACAACCAUUUCCCUAUUAUGGUGAUCAAUUAUAGUUUACCGCUGCCUUGUAAGCCUGGGUUUUUUUCCCUCCAAAGCCUAACUAAUUUUGCUGCCUUCAAUUGAAAAUUAAAGAAUAUUUGUUGAUGUGCUUCAGUUUAUGUUGGUGAUAAAUGAAUCCAAUCUCACUUGUUUAAGAUAACCAUAAUAAGAUAAAAUAGAAGUUUCAUUUGUUAAUUUAUUGAAACUAAAAAAUUUCAAACUUCUUCCAAAACAUAAAGCUUAAACCGACAGGUAUUUCAGCUAUAAUUUUGACUUGAGCAAUUUCAACUAAAGAGAGGAAUCACCAACAAGAAGCACGAUAAAAAAAGCAUUGAUUCUUAUGCUGUAUUGGUAGAAUCCUAUGUUAUAUUUGCCCCCAAGUAAUUAUAUCAUUAUUUUAUUUUGUUAAAUGCUUUAAAAGAUACCAUGGAAGGUGUUGAAUCUAUGAAAGACUGUUUGGUUAAAGGAAAUGUUGCAUAUAGUUUGUGAUAUAUGCAUUAAGGCUAUUGAUAUGGGAAUGAGAUCAAAUAUUUAUUUUGAUAAAACAGGGUGGAAAUUUCUUAUAACAUCAUUCCAAGAACAAACUGGCCAUGCAUUCACUAAAACACAAUUGAAAAACAAAUGGGAUGAAUGCAAAAAUGAUUGGAGGAUCUGUAAUAAGCUGGUUUUUGAAACUGGUGUUGACUAGAGUAAUGAAUUAAAAACAAUUUUAACUAGUGAUGAGUGGUGGAAAGAAAAAAUCCAGGUAAAUUCCUCAUUAUCUUGACGACUUUUUUUAUUGUUGUCAAAUUUCAAAAAAAAAAAUUUCAAUACAUGAUUCUUUAUUAAUUAA